CAUACUGAAAUUUUACGUUGAAAUAUUUAUAUAAUACUUAAAAGUUAUGCAGUAUUUUUUGAAAUAAAUUUUCGAGUUUUUCAAUCGUUUUCCAUGACCUUUAAAUAUUGAUAUUGACUUAAAAUUCGAGUGUGUUUCUCUGCGGCUUACAUAGAAAAUAUUAAACAAGCGAAGAAUUGAAGAUUUUGAAAAAAGAAUUGGUUUUUAUUGAUUUUCGAAAUUUAUAAAAUUUAUAAAUGACCUCUGAAAAAUUUAUUUAUGAUUUGAUACUUGAAGAAGAGUCCUUAAAUACUUCAGACCAAUAUUUCUGUGUGUGAGUAUCAAAAAAGAAGAAAAGUCAAAAAAAUAUUUCCAUCCUAAUAUAUUGCCCUCACUAUUAUGGAAAAUUGCUUUAUUUAAUUAACCAUAAAAUAAAAAAAGAAUAUGCAAAUAAAAAUUGAGUUAAUUGGAGCGAGAUCUUUAUUCACGUGGGUGAAUUCUUUCGAAUGAAUCAACAUUUUUCUUUUUAUUUUUAUUUUUUUUUACUUUUUUUCAAUAAGCUUUAAGUUUAUCCCUGGCUUAUAUCCUGAUUAGACUGACAAAAAAAAGCUGAGGAAGGUAUAAACUAAAAAACCAAGUGCUGACAAGCGGAAGUAGAGAAAAUAAGUCACUCGAAUUUAAAAAUAUUUUUUUAUAUAUUUCUUGUUAUAAAUUAUUACAUUUUAUCACUGAUAUAAAAAAUUUUUACUGAUUUAUUAUUUUUUUUUCCAACAUAUUUAUAUAAAAGGGGAAAAAAAAAUUUUCAACGUCAUCUAAUAAUAUUGAGUUUAAAAAAUAACCAAGUAAUCUUGCGUGUUUGAUCGAUAAUCGUUAGUUUGAUUGAAGAAUGAUAAUGCAAACAAUGAGACUGCCAUAUUGAUGAUGGUACCGUCUGGCACAUGUGUAUGACCAUUUAACUAAUACAAUUGUUAAAUAAAAAAAAAAUAUACACCUAUAUACACAUAUAUUUAUUUACACAUACGUAUUAUAAAUUGUUAUAAAAUAUCUAAACUAUACUGUACAUGUAUAUUAUAAUAUAUUAAAUAAAUAUUCAAAGGUA